UCACUUGUCCCAGGGAUCAUCAAUGGAAAGCUGAAAAUGAGUAUUAAUAAUGUUGGUGAGCAUGGUGCCACCUUGACCUGUGGAUUCAAUUCAGCAACUCCAAAAUCUGCAGCCUCCGUCUAUGGAGGCCUUCUGGAGGCAGUCACCUGCGUCCUGCCCUGGCUGUCCUGAAAUUCUCUCUAUAGACCAGGCUGGCCUCAAACUUGGAGGACCACUUGCCUCUGCUUCUGCCUCCUGAGUGGUGGCAUUAAAGGUGCAGGUGCACGGCCUCCAUGAGCUCCUGGGCAGGCAGAAGCCAGAGAGAGUGAGCUAUUCACUGACACCUACCCCUAGGGGCCCAUCUCCUCCCCUGGAUUGAAGCUUCCAAGGCAAAACCCAGGGGUUCAUAGAGGCAAACGUGUACACAUGGGUGUCUGCAUUUCUGCGUGCAUGUGUGAGCACAUAUGGAUGUAGGGUGUAAACACUGCUAGUUAGCAUGGGUGUCCAGACUUCCCCAAUCCCCAGUCCUCACCUCCCGGAAACAGUCCUGCAGCUCUGAGAAUUCAGGCAGGCUGACGCCUACAGUAGUGAUGAUUUCCUCCAGGGUCUCAACUGGCUUUGCCCAGCGGGUCUGUGUGAACUUCUUAAACAGCGGCUGGGACAGGCGAGAGAGGCAGGAUGUCUGGUCACUCCCAGAAAGGAAGGGCGGCUAAGCGCAGACACCCUCACAUAGACACUCAUGACCAGCAGGGGUCCCAAGGGCUUUCCAGGAGCUGGCUGGCUGUCAGGUCCCUGCCCUCAGAUCGGAAGCAGAGGCAGUCUGUGUGUACCCCUCUUCCAAGGUCACCCAGCUGUGGCUCGGGAGAGCCAAAAUGAGCCUGUCUGCAGCCCCGAGGUCUUUUCCACUGCCUCCUUCUUAAAUAAAUAAAUUCCUGC